AAACAAAAGGCUUUUAACCCUUCUUCUUUAACUAACAAGAACCUCAUUCUUUUCUUUAACAUUCCCAAAACCUUUACUAGAUUUUUUUUCUAACUUUUUUAGCUUACUUCCCCUAGAAUUCUUUCCCUUUCCUUAUCAACAAUGAAUUCACCCUUUUCUUUUAAACACAUCCCAACCCAUGAUCUAAGCGCCCACCUAGUCCUAUCCAGUCCGAAAAACGCGAACUAGAACUACAUGAGACACUAUCUCUGUCGUUACGAACCUAACACUUUCUACCAAGCUCAAUCGAAAUAAGACCUCACAAACACUCACAAGUGAUAUAGGGCUUGAAAGAAAGUUUAGGUUUGGGUUUGGGUUAACUGCUAUAAUAAGGAGAGUCAGCUACUUGGAUUAACAAGAGU
rnacentral:sRNA from 1 species